CAGCAAACCUGGGAGGGUUAUUGAGAGUAGAUACAAAAUGGUGAAAAUAAAUCACACCACACAAUAAAUUCCCAUGAGGUGUAUAGUAAGGGCAAACAGAUUCUGCAUCUGCAUCUGAACAACACAUCUGAAAGAGAUGCACAGGAUGAAAAAAACCCCUGCAUUAGAAAACUCACUGCCAGUGCUUCCUUCUUUUCUUGAGCAGAGAGAAGUAGCAAUCAUGCUGCAAGCUUUGAGCGUCACAGCUUAGUCUUUGCUCUCUCUUUAAUUUUGGAUGCUUUCAUUUUCACAUGUACAAAUAAAAGGACCUUGAGGUGAUCUAAGAGGCAUAUUAAGGGCUCUUUAUGAGAUUAAAUGUUCAAGAUUCUGAAAACAUGGUCUUCUGAGGACUAUUAAAUUGGAUCUCAAGAACAGAGAUGUAUGAAAUCAGAAGAUAUUUUCAAAAACUUUUGUCAGUAAUUUUGUCUGGUUGCCAGUUAAUCAGACUAGAAGAAUGUCUCAUUUUUGCUUUCCAGGUGCUCUCUAGACAGACAAAGAAAAAAAUUAAAAAGAAGAGCAGUAUAUUUUGUGAAGAGGAAAAUGAGAGAAUUAAAUCACAGUGAGUCAUUGACAGGAUUUUUCCAGUGCAGUCUAUGGGUCACUUGUAAGAAGUAUGAAGAAUGGCACUCAGAGCAGAGAAUCACCAGGACAGAAGAAGGUCUCUGCUACUUCACCUGAGGAAAGAUGAGCUGUAACUGCCUUUCCACACCCACUUCAGACUCUUCCUUAUGCUCUGUGGGUGAAUGUGUGUGAGAAUGCCUGGAAGCUUCCCUCAUUGUCUUUGAGGAGGCGAUGUUGCAGCGCAAUGACACCAGGACAGCUAUGGGAGCUCCGACAUUGAAGAUGACUUAGUAUAUUUUUAAUGGGAUUUUCACAGAAAUAUUUCAAUUUGCAGUACAACCCAAGCUUUCUAAUAACAAGAAUAUCGGAAGUCUUUACACACACUAAAAAAUAAUUAAAAGCAGCUAACAUCAUGAUGCAAUUCAUAAA